rnacentral:tRNA from 1 species
GGCAGAGUGGGAAGCCUUGUAGUCAGAUGUGGGUUCAAAUCCUACCUCUGCCA